UGGGGAAUUUUGGACAAUGGGCGAAAGCCUGAUCCAGCAAUGCCGCGUGUGUGAAGAAGGCCUUCGGGUUGUAAAGCACUUUUGUCCGGAAAGAAAUCCUUGGCUCUAAUACAGUCGGGGGAUGACGGUACCGGAAGAAUAAGCACCGGCUAACUACGUGCCAGCAGCCGCGGUAAUACGUAGGGUGCAAGCGCUAAUCGGAAUUACUGGGCGUAAAGCGUGCGCAGGCGGUUUGCUAAGACCGAUGUGAAAUCCCCGGGCUCAACCUGGGAACUGCAUUGGUGACUGGCAGGCUAGAGUAUGGCAGANGGGGUAGAAUUCCACGUGUAGCAGUGAAAUGCGUAGAGAUGUGGAGGAAUACCGAUGGCGAAGGCAGCCCCCUGGGCCAAUACUGACGCUCAUGCACGAAAGCGUGGGGAGCAAACAGGAUUAGAUACCCUGGUAGUCCACGCCCUAAACGAUGUCAACUAGUUGUUGGGGAUUCAUUUCCUUAGUAACGUAGCUAACGCGUGAAGUUGACCGCCUGGGGAGUACGGUCGCAAGAUUAAAACUCAAAGGAAUUGACGGGGUCAUAGCUGUUUCCU
rnacentral:rRNA from 1 species